rnacentral:lncRNA from 1 species
AUCAUAUUCUACUCUUUGUCUUAGCUUCCUUGGUUCCAAGUUUCUUUCUGUUUGAAAUUAAGGCUGCUCAUUCUCACCCGCCAAGAACAACAUAUUCUCAGAUUACUGUCAUGGGUCUUGUUUAUUGUGACACCUGCUCCAACAACACCUUCUCCAAACACAGUUACUUCUUAUCAGGUAAUCCCCGAUUCCAUUUCUUCACACUACAUAUUUACUCGAGUAAGGUCAAGGUAAAAGUUUAAGUCCUAAUUAAAUUCAAGAUGAAACUAGAAUUGAAAUGGUCAAAACUAGUAUCUGUUUUUGUAAUUAUGAUGUGUAGGUUUAUCAUUUUCAGUUUGAACUUUUUGUUUCUCCCUUCUCUAAGCUUUGAUAAUAUGGUUGGGUUUAAAUAGAUUUUAGUAAACUAAUUUAAAAAAGAGAAUUGAAUUAUUGAAAGAGGGAUUGAAAAAAUUGAUAGUCGUCGGCGCAGUGUGUGUUUAUUUAUUGUAAAUGAUGGGUGAAAAACAAACAGGUGCAGAAGUUCGAAUCGACUGCAAAUUAAAAGCAGAGACGCCGCGUACGGCGGAGCAGAUAGCGUUCUCAGUGAACAGAACGACAAACAAAUACGGAGUGUACAAGUUGGAAAUACCUUCGGUGGACGGAAUACGAUGUGCAGAGGAUUCAGCAAUGGUGUCGUUCUGCCAAGCGAGUUUGAUGGGAAGUUCAUCGUCGUCUUGCAAUGUUCCUGGAUACAGAAGCACAUCGGGAGAAAUUUCGAUAAAAUCAAGACAGUCAAACAUUUGCAUUUACAGCUUAAACCCGUUGAAUUACAGGCCAUCGACGAGAGACGAUAUCUUGUGUGGGAAUUAGAAGAAGAAGAAGAAGAAGAAGAAGAAGAUUAGGUUUUGAUCUCAGUUAUUGUGUUCUUGUUGGGUUUGUGUGGCCAUGGAUUGGAAAGUGUGAUUUUGUUUAUUUAACAAAAAGACUUUAUGUGUUAAUGUUGUUUGUACAGUUUUGGAAAGAAGGAACCUCCACGUGCAGUGCGUGUGCUUUUGCUUCCUCUCUUCUUUUUCUUUUCUUUUUUCGUUUUCCAAUUUACAAUUAAUAUUUUCAACUUCUUUUUCUAACUAUG